rnacentral:lncRNA from 1 species
UUUUUUUCUUUCUUGUAUAAUCAAUUCACCACUAAAGGCAUCCUUAAUAUAAUUUAUGAAUUUUAAACUUUUUUAUUUUUAUUUUGUCUUUAAGCCGAACUCGGAGUUUAAUCAAGAAACCGUCAGAGAAAAAGUACACAAAACACUUCUUAAAUGAGGUCGAUUGGUAACGACUGUUACUUGUGGCUGUAGAGACUUUAACUUUAAAAUUUUG